rnacentral:rRNA from 1 species
GAAAGCCAAUCUCAGUUCGGAUUGUAGGCUGCAACUCGCCUACAUGAAGUUGGAAUCGCUAGUAAUCGCGAAUCAGAAUGUCGCGGUGAAUACGUUCCCGGGUCUUGUACACACCGCCCGUCACACCACGAGAGUUUACAACACCCGAAGUCAGUGGCCUAACCGCAAGGAGGGAGCUGCCUAAGGUGGGGUAGAUGAUUGGGGUGAAGUCGUAACAAGGUACC